AUUGAACGCUGGCGGCAGGCUUAACACAUGCAAGUCGAGCGGGCGAGGUUGCUUCGGUAACUGAGCUAGCGGCGGACGGGUGAGUAAAGCUUAGGAAUCUGCCUAUUAGUGGGGGACAACAUUCCGAAAGGGAUGCUAAUACCGCAUACGUCCUACGGGAGAAAGCAGGGGAUCACUUGUGACCUUGCGCUAAUAGAUGAGCCUACGUCGGAUUAGCUAGUUGGUGGGGUAAAGGCCUACCAAGGCGACGAUCUGUAGCGGGUCUGAGAGGAUGAUCAGCCACACUGGGACUGAGACACGGCCCAGACUCCUACGGGAGGCAGCAGUGGGGAAUAUUGGACAAUGGGGGGAACCCUGAUCCAGCCAUGCCGCGUGUGUGAAGAAGGCCUUUUGGUUGUAAAGCACUUUAAGCGAGGAGGAGGCUUACCUGGUUAAUACCUGGGCUAAGUGGACGUUACUCGCAGAAUAAGCACCGGCUAACUCUGUGCCAGCAGCCGCCGUAAGAC
rnacentral:rRNA from 1 species